GGUUAAGCGACUAAGCGUACACGGUGGAUGCCCUGGCAGUCAGAGGCGAUGAAGGACGUGCUAAUCUGCGAAAAGCGCCGGCGAGGUGAUAUGAACCUUUGACCCGGCGAUGUCCGAAUGGGGAAACCCAGUGCAAUUCGUUGCACUAUCGUUAACUGAAUACAUAGGUUAACGAGGCGAACCGGGGGAACUGAAACAUCUAAGUACCCCGAGGAAAAGAAAUCAACCGAGAUUCCCCCAGUAGCGGCGAGCGAACGGGGAGCAGCCCGGAGUCUGAAUCAGUUUGUGUGUUAGUGGAACGGUCUGGAAAGUCCGACGGUACAGGGUGAUAGUCCCGUACACGAAAAUGCACAUGCUGUGAACUCGAAGAGUAGGGCGGGACACGUGGUAUCCUGUCUGAAUAUGGGGGGACCAUCCUCCAAGGCUAAAUACUCCUGACUGACCGAUAGUGAACCAGUACCGUGAGGGAAAGGCGAAAAGAACCCCGGCGAGGGGAGUGAAAAAGAACCUGAAACCGUGUACGUACAAGCAGUGGGAGCCUCUUUAUGGGGUGACUGCGUACCUUUUGUAUAAUGGGUCAGCGACUUAUAUUCUGUAGCAAGGUUAACCGUAUAGGGGAGCCGAAGGGAAACCGAGUCUUAACUGGGCGUUAAGUUGCAGGGUAUAGACCCGAAACCCGGUGAUCUAGCCAUGGGCAGGUUGAAGGUUGGGUAACACUAACUGGAGGACCGAACCGACUAAUGUUGAAAAAUUAGCGGAUGACCUGUGGCUGGGGGUGAAAGGCCAAUCAAACCGGGAGAUAGCUGGUUCUCCCCGAAAGCUAUUUAGGUAGCGCCUCGUGAACUCAUCUUCGGGGGUAGAGCACUGUUUCGGCUAGGGGGCCAUCCCGGCUUACCAACCCGAUGCAAACUACGAAUACCGAAGAAUGUUAUCACGGGAGACACACGGCGGGUGCUAACGUCCGUCGUGAAGAGGGAAACAACCCAGACCGCCAGCUAAGGUCCCAAAGUCAUGGUUAAGUGGGAAACGAUGUGGGAAGGCACAGACAGCCAGGAUGUUGGCUUAGAAGCAGCCAUCAUUUAAAGAAAGCGUAAUAGCUCACUGGUCGAGUCGGCCUGCGCGGAAGAUGUAACGGGGCUAAACCAUGCACCGAAGCUGCGGCAGCGACGCUUAUGCGUUGUUGGGUAGGGGAGCGUUCUGUAAGCCGUUGAAGGUGGCCUGUGAGGGUUGCUGGAGGUAUCAGAAGUGCGAAUGCUGACAUAAGUAACGAUAAAGCGGGUGAAAAGCCCGCUCGCCGGAAGACCAAGGGUUCCUGUCCAACGUUAAUCGGGGCAGGGUGAGUCGACCCCUAAGGCGAGGCCGAAAGGCGUAGUCGAUGGGAAACAGGUUAAUAUUCCUGUACUUGGUGUUACUGCGAAGGGGGGACGGAGAAGGCUAUGUCAGCCGGGCGACGGUUGUCCCGGUUUAAGCAUGUAGGCGGAGGUUCCAGGUAAAUCCGGUACCUUGUUAACGCUGAGGUGUGAUGACGAGGCACUACGGUGCUGAAGUGAUAAAUGCCCUGCUUCCAGGAAAAGCCUCUAAGCAUCAGGUAACACGAAAUCGUACCCCAAACCGACACAGGUGGUCAGGUAGAGAAUACCAAGGCGCUUGAGAGAACUCGGGUGAAGGAACUAGGCAAAAUGGUGCCGUAACUUCGGGAGAAGGCACGCUGAUAUGUAGGUGAAGCCCCUGCGGGCGGAGCUGAAAUCAGUCGAAGAUACCAGCUGGCUGCAACUGUUUAUUAAAAACACAGCACUGUGCAAACACGAAAGUGGACGUAUACGGUGUGACGCCUGCCCGGUGCCGGAAGGUUAAUUGAUGGGGUUAGCGGCAACGCGAAGCUCUUGAUCGAAGCCCCGGUAAACGGCGGCCGUAACUAUAACGGUCCUAAGGUAGCGAAAUUCCUUGUCGGGUAAGUUCCGACCUGCACGAAUGGCGUAAUGAUGGCCAGGCUGUCUCCACCCGAGACUCAGUGAAAUUGAACUCGCUGUGAAGAUGCAGUGUACCCGCGGCAAGACGGAAAGACCCCGUGAACCUUUACUAUAGCUUGACACUGAACACUGGUCCUUGAUGUGUAGGAUAGGUGGGAGGCUUUGAAGCGUGGACGCCAGUCUGCGUGGAGCCGCCCUUGAAAUACCACCCUUUAAUGGCUGGUGUUCUAACGUAGACCCGUAAUCCGGGUUGCGGACAGUGUCUGGUGGGUAGUUUGACUGGGGCGGUCUCCUCCCAAAGAGUAACGGAGGAGCACGAAGGUUGGCUAAUCCUGGUCGGACAUCAGGAGGUUAGUGCAAUGGCAUAAGCCAGCUUGACUGCGAGCGUGACGGCGCGAGCAGGUGCGAAAGCAGGUCAUAGUGAUCCGGUGGUUCUGAAUGGAAGGGCCAUCGCUCAACGGAUAAAAGGUACUCCGGGGAUAACAGGCUGAUACCGCCCAAGAGUUCAUAUCGACGGCGGUGUUUGGCACCUCGAUGUCGGCUCAUCACAUCCUGGGGCUGAAGUAGGUCCCAAGGGUAUGGCUGUUCGCCAUUUAAAGUGGUACGCGAGCUGGGUUUAGAACGUCGUGAGACAGUUCGGUCCCUAUCUGCCGUGGGCGCUGGAGAAUUGAGGGGGGCUGCUCCUAGUACGAGAGGACCGGAGUGGACGCAUCACUGGUGUUCGGGUUGUCAUGCCAAUGGCACUGCCCGGUAGCUAAAUGCGGAAGAGAUAAGUGCUGAAAGCAUCUAAGCACGAAACUUGCCCCGAGAUGAGUUCUCCCUGAGACUUUAAGUCUCCUGAAGGAACGUUAAAGACGAUGACGUUGAUAGGUCGGGUGUGUAAGCGCAGCGAUGCGUUGAGCUAACCGAUACUAAUGAACCGUGAGGCUUAACCUU
rnacentral:rRNA from 1 species